rnacentral:rRNA from 1 species
CUUSUUCUCUAGGUACCGUCAKYYUGUUCCGUUAAGAACAGGUUUUCUUCCCUAUCGAAAGAGGUUUACAAUCCGAAGACCUUCAUCCCUCACGCGGCGUCACAUAGUCAGACUUUCGUCCAUUGCUAAAUAUCCUCGACUGCAGCCUCCCGUAGGAGUUGGGGCAGUGUCUCAGUCCCCAUGUGGCUGACCACCCUCUCAGGCCAGCUACCCGUCAAAAGCCUUGGUAGGCCAUUACCCUGCCAACUAGCUGAUAGGACGCGAGCUCAUCUCUAAACAAAAACUCUUGCGAGCCUUCUUUACUUACAGCUGCUUAUGCAACCGUAAACACAUCGGGCAUUACCCUUACUUUCGCAAGGCUAUUCCCGACUUAGAGGUAAAUUACUCACGUGUUACUCACCAAUCUGCCGCUAUAUCUUUUUUCUCUUAACAGAUCAGCCUUGCGGCUUCACCAUCUCAAGAAAAAAGUAUCGCUCGACUUGCAUGCCUAAUCUACGCCGCCAGCGUUCACUCUGAGCCAGGAUCAAACUCUAAUCGAAUUCCCGCGGCCGCCAUGGCGGCCGGGAGCAUGCGACGUCGGGCCCAAUUCRSCCUAUAGUGAGUCGUAUUACAAUUCACUGGSCCGUCGUUUUAC